rnacentral:rRNA from 1 species
CGAACGGGUGAGUAACACGUGAGUAACCUGCCCCAGACUCUGGGAUAACCCCGGGAAACCGGAGCUAAUACCGGAUAUGACACGAAGAGGCAUCUCUAUCGUGUGGAAAGUUUUUCGGUCUGGGAUGGACUCGCGGCCUAUCAGCUUGUUGGUGAGGUAAUGGCUCACCAAGGCGACGACGGGUAGCCGGCCUGAGAGGGCGACCGGCCACACUGGGACUGAGACACGGCCCAG